AUACUUACCUGGCAGGGGAGAUACUGUGAUCACGAAGGUGUUUUCCGAGUACAUCCUUGUACUCUGGAUGUGCUGACCCCUGCAAUUUCCACAAAUGUGGGAAAUUCAGCUGCAGAAUUUGUGGUAGUGGGGGACUGUGUUUGCGCUCUCUCAUG
rnacentral:snRNA from 1 species